CCAAUAGCGUAUAUUAAGGUUGCUGCGGUUAAAAAGCUCGUAGUUGAAUUUCGGGAUUGACACAUCGGUCGUUCCUUAAGGGGUAUGAACUGGCGUAGCCAAUUCCUCAUCUUCUGGUGAAUUGUGAUGCCUCUUUAACUGGGUGUUUCAAUGAACUAGGACUUUUACUUUGAAAAAAUUAGAGUGUUUAAAGCAGGCAUUAUUUGCUUGAAUACAUUAGCAUGGAAUAAUAAAAUAGAACGAUGAUUCUAUUUUGUUGGUUUCUAGGAUCACCGUAAUGAUUAAUAGGGAUAGUUGGGGGCAUUAGUAUUCAAUUGUCAGAGGUGAAAUUCUUGGAUUUAUUGAAGACUAACUACUGCGAAAGCAUUUGCCAAGGAUGUUUUCAUUAAUCAAGAACGAAAGUUAGGGGAUCGAAGACGAUCAGAUACCGUCGUAGUCUUAACCAUAAACUAUGCCGACUAGGAAUCAGACGAUGUUAAUUUUUUAAUGACUCGUUUGGCACCUUACG
rnacentral:rRNA from 1 species